rnacentral:rRNA from 1 species
AUUGAACGCUGGCGGCAGGCCUAACACAUGCAAGUCGAACGAGUGGCGGACGGGUGAGUAAUGUCUGGGAAACUGCCUGAUGGAGGGGGAUAACUACUGGAAACGGUAGCUAAUACCGCAUACCAUCGGAUGUGCCCAGAUGGGAUUAGCUGGUUGGUGGGGUAACGGCUCACCAAGGCGACGAUCCCUGGCUGGUCUGAGUGGCUGACGGGCCACACUGGAACUGGGACACGGUCCAGACUCUGACGGGAGGAAGCAGUGGGGAAUAUUGCACAAUGGGGGCAGGCCUACUGCAGCCCGGCCGCGGGUAUGAAGAAGGCCUUCGGGUUGUAAACUACUUUCAGCGGGGAGGCGGUACCCGCAGAAGAAGCACCGGCUAACUCCGUGCCAGCAGCCGCGGUAAUUC